UCCGAGUUGACCCCGGCAGUCUCCGAUGAGUCCCCGGCAUAACCCGCUGGCAACAUCGGAUAAGGGUUGCGCUCGUUGCGGGACUUAACCCAACACCUCACGGCACGAGCUGACGACAGCCAUGCAGCACCUGUACACGCUCCCUUGCGGGUCGGUCACCUUUCGGAUCCCUACCACGUGUAUGUCAAGCCCAGGUAAGGUUCUUCGCGUUGCAUCGAAUUAAACCACAUGCUCCACCGCUUGUGCGGGCCCCCGUCAAUUUCUUUGAGUUUUAACCUUGCGGCCGUACUCCCCAGGCGGGGUACUUAACGCGUUAGCUUCGGCACUGAAGGGGUCAAUACCUCCAACACCAAGUACCCAUCGUUUACGGCGUGGACUAC
rnacentral:misc_RNA from 1 species